rnacentral:rRNA from 1 species
UACCUACCCCUAAGUGGGGAAUAACUGCCCGAAAGGGUGGCUAAUACCGCAUAAUCCCGCAAGGGUAAAGCAGUAAUGCGCUUAGGGAGGGGCCUGCGUCUGAUUAGCUAGUUGGUAGUGUAAUGGACUACCAAGGCGACGAUCAGUAGCUGGAUCGAGAGGUUGACCAGCCACACUGGGACUGAGAUACGGCCCAGACUCCUACGGGAGGCAGCAGUAAGGAAUCUUCCACAAUGGACGAAAGUCUGAUGGAGCAACACCGCGUGCAG